UUGCUCCCUGAUGUUAGCGGCGGACGGGUGAGUAACACGUGGGUAACCUGCCUGUAAGACUGGGAUAACUCCGGGAAACCGGGGCUAUACCGGAUGCUUGUUUGAACCGCAUGGUUCAAACAUAAAAGGUGGCUUCGGCUACCACUUACAGAUGGACCCGCGGCGCAUUAGCUAGUUGGUGAGGUAAUGGCUCACCAAGGCGACGAUGCGUAGCCGACCUGAGAGGGUGAUCGGCCACACUGGGACUGAGACACGGCCCAGACUCCUACGGGAGGCAGCAGUAGGGAAUCUUCCGCAAUGGACGAAAGUCUGACGGAGCAACGCCGCGUGAGUGAUGAAGGUUUUCGGAUCGUAAAGCUCUGUUGUUAGGGAAGAACAAGUACCGUUCGAAUAGGGCGGUACCUUGACGGUACCUAACCAGAAAGCCACGGCUAACUACGUGCCAGCAGCCGCGGUAAUACGUAGGUGGCAAGCGUUGUCCGGAAUUAUUGGGCGUAAAGGGCUCGCAGGCGGUUUCUUAAGUCUGAUGUGAAAGCCCCCGGCUCAA
rnacentral:rRNA from 1 species